GCGGGGAUAGCUCAGUUGGGAGUAGCGUCAGACUGAAGUUCUACUUCAUUCAUAAAAUCUGAAGGUCGUGCGUUCGAUCCGCACUCACCGCA